CCCCAAAGUGUGGAGUUCAGUUCAGGGCAGCUUCUCUGUUCUGUUAAUUAAACUUUGCGAUAUUGAAAUCGGCAAAAGUAAAAUGAUUGAAUGGAGAGUAUUACUCCAUAUACUUCCAAGUGCGCGCACACAC